UAGCAUAAGGCGAAGAUUUUCACUGCUGC
rnacentral:sRNA from 1 species